GCCUGGGUGGCUCAGUCGGUUGAGCGUCCGACUUCGGCUCAGGUCAUGAUCUCACAGUUUGUGAGUUCGAGCCCCGCAUCGGGCU
rnacentral:tRNA from 1 species